CCUACAUACGAUACGGAGAAAAUUCGAAAGUGAAAGUAGAAAUUGUGUACAAGUUAACAAUAACCAUCUCGAAGUUGAAGUUAAACACGCAAUCUGGAACUCGGUAUCACAUCUGACUCGCACUUCUGACACUUCUGAAAUGGAUCAAAUCGGACUUUGUCGUCGAGACUCGGAAGAACCAAGCUGCCUAAAUUAUAAUGCCAGUGGAACUCAAAACAGAAAAGAUACUUGUAUGCAAGACAUGGAGAAAACAGCAGACUACAGCCUCUAUAUACCAUUCCUUGGUGCCUCCUUGAAUUGAUGUUU